UGAGAUGUAGCUCAGUGGUAGAGUCUCUCUGUCUUGCAUGCUGAAGACCCCAGAUCCAAUCCUGGCAUCUCCA